rnacentral:lncRNA from 1 species
UACAAAGAGCCGGCUCUCAGAGCCAAUGCUUGUGCGCAUGACCCAUCACUAACGGACACACCCCUCUAAGAUGUCACGGCAUAUUAUUUGAGGAUAAAAGGCAUAUUCUUCAUCAGUAGAUUAACACAUUCUCCCUCUUUCUGCAGCCAAGCAAGAACAGACAAACAAUACUCCUUUUUCACAACAGGAUGAGAGAUCUUGGAGAACAUUUGAAGAUUUUCAGUUGAUAUUGGAAACUAGAAGAAAAUGAGACUGUGUGGGCUGAAACACACAAGAAGCCUGAUUCCCUACAUGUUUACAGACAGAGAUCCACUCAUCAACAUCGGAGAAGGAAGCGUGGUGAUUGGAUUAAGUACAGCGGACGUUGACGCGGUCACCGCCCACGGCUUCUUCCGACCAGCCAGCCAGAAAGUCAGACCUGUCGGUCCAAACACCACUGAGAGUGACCGAAUCUUUGGGGUAGAACCCACAUGGUUGAAUGCACUUAUUGUAAGUCGCUUUGGAUAAAAGCAUCAUCUAAGUAAAUGUAAUUCAACGUAAUGCAAAAGACUUGGUGUAUAUAAGUUAUUUCAGUAACU